rnacentral:rRNA from 1 species
ACGAGGUGCUUGAGUAGCAAUACAAGAGUAUCCUAGUGGCGAACGGGUGAGUAACGCGUGGGUGACCUACCCCAAAGUGUGGGAUAACAGUCCGAAAGGAUUGCUAAUACCGCAUGUGGUCUCCGGGUUUAGGAACCGGCGACUAAAGCAGCAAUGCGCUUUGGGAGGGACCUGCGUCCCAUCAGCUAGUUGGUGAGGUAACGGCUCACCAAGGCGACGACGGGUAGGGGACCUGAGAGGGUGACCCCCCACAAUGGAACUGAAACACGGUCCAUACACCUACGGGUGGCAGCAGUAGGGAAUAUUGCACAAUGGGCGAAAGCCUGAUGCAGCAACGCCGCGUGCGCGAUGAAGGCCUUCGGGUCGUAAAGCGCUUUUCUGAGAGAUGAGAAAGGACAGUAUCUCAGGAAUAAGUCUCGGCUAACUACGUGCCAGCAGCCGCGGUAAAACGUAGGAGGCGAGCGUUAUCCGGAUUCACUGGGCGUAAAGCGCGUGCAGGUGGCUUGGUAAGUUGGGCGUGAAAUCUCCCGGCUCAACUGGGAUAGGUCGUCCAAUACUACCAAGCUUGAGAGCAGAAGAGGAAGAUGGAAUUCCCGGUGUAGUGGUGAAAUGCGUAGAUAUCGGGAGGAACACCAGUGGCGAAGGCGGUCUUCUGGUCUGUUUCUGACACUCAGACGCGACAGCUAGGGUAGUAAACGGGAUUAGAGACCCCGGUAAUCCUAGCCGUAAACGAUGUGAACUUGGCGUUGGUGGGUUAAACUCCAUCAGUGCCGAAGCUAACGCGAUAAGCUCACCGCCUGGGGACUACGGCCGCAAGGUUAAAACUCAAAGGAAUUGACG